rnacentral:rRNA from 1 species
AGAGUUUGAUCCUGGCUCAGAUUGAACGCUGGCGGAAUGCUUUACACAUGCAAGUCGAACGGCAGCACGGGAGCUUGCUCCUGGUGGCGAGUGGCGAACGGGUGAGUAACAUAUCGGUACAUAUCCUAUCGUGGGGGAUAACUAGUCGAAAGACUAGCUAAUACCGCAUACGUCCUGAGGGAGAAAGCGGGGGCUCGCAAGACCUCGCGCGAUUGGAGUGGCCGAUAUCUGAUUAGCUAGAUGGUGAGGUAAAAGCUCACCAUGGCGACGAUCAGUAGCUGGUCUGAGAGGAUGAUCAGCCACACUGGGACUGAGACACGGCCCAGACUCCUACGGGAGGCAGCAGUGGGGAAUUUUGGACAAUGGGCGAAAGCCUGAUCCAGCCAUUCCGCGUGAGUGAAGAAGGCCUUCGGG